UACGUAGGGUGCAGGCGUUAAUCGGAAUUACUGGGCGUAAAGCGUGCGUAGGCGGUUCGUUAAGUCUGUUGUGAAAGCCCCGGGCUCAACCUGGGAAUGGCAAUGGAUACUGGCGAGCUAGAGUGUGUCAGAGGAUGGUGGAAUUCCCGGUGUAGCGGUGAAAUGCGUAGAGAUCGGGAGGAACAUCAGUGGCGAAGGCGGCCAUCUGGGACAACACUGACGCUGAGGCACGAAAGCGUGGGGAGCAAACAGG
rnacentral:rRNA from 1 species